GACUCACGACAACGGAUAUCUUGGUUCUCGCAUCGAUGAAGAACGUAGCGAAAUGCGAUACGUGAUGUGAAUUGCAGAAUCCCGUGAACCAUCGAAUCUUUGAACGCGAGUUGCGCCUGAGGUAAUUCUACCGAUGGCAUGCCUGGCUGGGUGUUGUGAAACU
rnacentral:rRNA from 1 species